UGAGGAAUCUUCCACAAUGGGCGAAAGCCUGAUGGAGCAACGCCGCGUGCAGGAUGAAGGCCUUCGGGUUGUAAACUGCUUUUAUUAGUGAGGAAUAUGACGGUAACUAAUGAAUAAGGAUCGGCUAACUACGUGCCAGCAGCCGCGGUCAUACGUAGGAUCCGAGCGUUAUCCGGAGUGACUGGGCGUAAAGAGUUGCGUAGGUGGUUAGUAAAGCGAAUAGUGAAAUCUGGUGGCUCAACCAUACAGGCUAUUAUUCGUACUCACUAACUCGAGAGUGGUAGAGGUAACUGGAAUUUCUUGUGUAGGAGUGAAAUCCGUAGAUAUAAGAAGGAACACCAAUGGCGUAGGCAGGUUACUGGACCAUUUCUGACACUGAGGCACGAAAGCGUGGGGAGCGAACCGG
rnacentral:rRNA from 1 species